GUAGUCAUCAUUUGAACACGUCUCCGCUAAUCUUCGGUCUGUCGCUGCCUCCUCACCAUCAUAAAAAAAAAAAAAAACAUCCAAUAGACCGACACCUUUGUCUUUCUGUGGUAUCUAACCACCGCCAUUAGAUUUUUACUCAACUGUACAGCUCCUAUGAACCCAACAACCUAUUUUAUCCUCUUCGAUUAAUGCUUUCAACAUUCUAAGUUUCAAGCUUUUCUUAUGCUUUCUCCGACUUGAAAUCCAAGUUUUCCUGUGUUGGCUGCAGAGAAAGUGAGGAACUUAAAAUUUCUUUGCAGCCAAACAGGGAAUUGGCCAUCUGGGGCUUUUUAGGGUCCAUUUUCUGGUGGAUAGAGCUGAAGAAAUGGCCUCUGCUCAUGCAUUUAGUUCACUAUCUAAAGUUUCUCCUGUAUUUUCUCUUAAAAAACGGUACUGGAAUUCAUGUAUGAAACCUUGCUGUAUGGUUUCUACCAUAAUUUGCAACUACCAAACGCCUAAAAGGCCCAAUUUUGUUGCUGCAAAGACUACUAAAGUUAGAGAAUUUAGGCUAUUUAAGUCAGUGGAAUUGGACCAGUACGUGACGAGUGACGAUGAAGAAGAAAUGGGUGAAGGAUUUUUUGAGGCAAUUGAGGAACUUGAGAGAAUGACAAGAGAACCUUCUGAUAUUCUUGAGGAAAUGAAUGAUAGGUUGUCCGCGAGAGAGUUGCAAUUAGUGCUUGUUUAUUUCUCUCAAGAGGGGAGAGAUUCCUGGUGUGCGCUUGAGGUGUUUGAGUGGUUGAGAAAGGAGAAUAGGGUCGACAAGGAAACAUUGGAGCUUAUGGUUUCGAUAAUGUGUAGUUGGGUUAAGAAGUUAAUUGAAGGGGAACAAGAUGUUGGGGAUGUGGUUGACUUACUUGUGGAUAUGGAUUGUGUGGGGUUGAAGCCGAGUUUUAGUAUGAUUGAGAAGGUGAUAUCUUUGUAUUGGGAUAUGGGGAAGAAGGAGGGAGCGGUUUCAUUUGUGAAGGAGGUUUUGAGACGAGGGAUUGCAUAUUCGGGCGAUGAUGGAGAAGGACAGAAAGGAGGCCCAACUGGGUAUCUUACAUGGAAGAUGAUGGUUGAUGGAAACUACAGGAAUGCAGUCAAGUUGGUGAUUCAUCUUAGAGAAUCUGGAUUAAAGCCUGAGAUCUAUGCCUACCUCAUUGCAAUGACAGCUGUUGUCAAAGAGCUAAAUGAAUUUUCUAAAGCUCUACGCAAGUUGAAAGGUUAUUCAAGGUCUGGUAUGAUAACUGAACUUGGUGCUGAGAAUGUAGAGCUUGUUGAGAAAUAUCAGUCAGAUCUUCUAGCUGAUGGAGUAUGCUUGUCCAGUUGGGUCAUUCAGGAGGGAAGUCCUGCACUUUAUGGUGUGGUUCAUGAGCGACUUCUUGCCAUGUAUAUUUGUGCUGGCCGUGGGCUUGAUGCUGAAAGACAGUUAUGGGAAAUGAAGCUUGUUGGUAAGGAGGCUGAUGGAGACCUUUAUGACAUUGUUUUAGCUAUCUGUGCAUCUCAAAAGGAGGCCAGCGCCAUAGCACGGUUGCUCACUAGAAUAGAGGUUGCAAGCUCUAUGCGCAAGAAGAAAUCAUUGUCAUGGUUGUUGAGAGGUUACAUUAAAGGUGGACACUAUGGUGAGGCUGCAGAAACACUAAUUAAGAUGCUUGAUUUGGGUUUAUCUCCAGCUUAUUUAGACAGAGUAGCGGUGAUGCAGGGUCUGAGAAAAAGGAUCCAACAAUGGGGAAAUGUUGAAUCUUAUCUUAAGCUUUGCAAGCGCCUCUCUGAUGUGAAUUUGAUUGGACCUUCUCUUGUAUAUCUGUAUAUAAAGAAAUAUAAGCUUUGGAUCAUGAAAUUGCUUUGAGUGACCCCUCGAGUGGAAUGAAUUUGAACCUGGGUUUGUGAUUGUGAUGAAAGCAAGGUUUAUAGAGUCUAGCAUUCACAACACCACCAUUAUUAUAAAUACCUUCAAAUGAGAAGAUUGUGUACAUUGAUUGGGAUGGCUUCACGGAGGUGCAAGAAUAUGGGUAGAGUCUAUGAUGCCAACGCAGGUUUUGUCUCCGCUAUUUUGUUCUCGAGGUCCUGUAGCUGUUUGUGUAUGUGGUAGAUGCUGUAAACAUAAUAAAGAACAUUCAACACAAUGUAACCAAGCUGCGUAUAAAUCUUACAGUAGCCGUACAUGCAUAUUGUAUCAUGGCAAAAAUAGGAUUCAGUGAAGACUACUUGGAAUGAUGAAGUAUGCUUUUACUUCAGUUAUGUUUGGUUGCAUCUUUAUAAAUUAUCAAAUGUGAUCUCGGUGAUGAGUUAUGAUCAUUGACACUAGCCUUUUCUUACUUCAUAGCUGAAUACCUAACUGAACAUCUGGACUAGUUAUUGGCUCGCAUAUGUAAUGAUAUGAUCUGCAAUGUUCAAAAUCUGUCACUCGGAGCCAGUAUGUUUACAGAAACUGUCAUGCUUCCGGUUCUGCCAAACUAUUGCUGGACAUGGUGGACAAGGAACAGGAACUUCAUUCUCCGUGUUUGCUGUUAGAUAUUCUCUAGGAUCAGGGUCUUCUUUAUUAAUUCCAGUUAGGCCUUGAUAUCAUCUUACAGAACUUCUGAAAGCCUAACCAAGAAUCAAAAACUUCGCAUUGUUAAAGCUUUGGGACCGUGAACUUAUAUAUCGGCAGGGAAUUUAUUUAUAUCCAGUAUAGGUUGGGUUUGGAUAAGCUAUAUACAGUGUUGAGAACCCCCUUGUGGGCCAUUUGAUUUGUGAAAUGCACUUGGUAGUGAAUCCUUCACAAGAUACGGUGGCCGCAUCUUUUGCUGCCCCUUUUACAUGUUCGAAGGUUGUCAAUAUGGUGGCAGAACAACCAGGUGGGUGAGUGGCGAAGUUGGGAUUAAUUUCUAUAAUGAGAGCGGGAGAGCAGAGCCAUAUAAGGUUGUAGUUUAUGUUCUGUCUUUUUUGGUAAACUUUGUAUGAUUAAUAAUUGUUCUUCCCCAUUAACGCCCAUACCAUUGCUUUCGUUC